rnacentral:lncRNA from 1 species
CACAAGGCAGUGGAUUCAUUUUCACACCAGACUAUGAAACAUCAUCUAUAAGCUUCUUGUCUUCUUUCCCGAGCUUCAAUGUAAAUGACCGAAGCAUCGGAGAGACAAGAGAAGUGUGUCCCAAAAACAGGUGGUUGAAGGUACGAGCUGUUAUCCAAUGGAAAUCAAUCAGCCGCGGCGCUGCAAAAAGGCGGCGGCAGCACUGGCUGCAACACGGUAUAUGUACAUGAAUAAUAUAUAAGAUCAAUUGCACAGCAAUUAAGCAUCUCCUACAUGUUUAAUGCAAUCAGGAGAUAAUAAUCAGUCUCCUAGAUGUUUCAGCAUAGGUUUCUCAAUCUUAUGUAGCGUUUUUUCUUCCUAUGGAAAUGUAAUGUAAUGUAUUGUAGGAGAGGGCAAGUAGUAGUAUUUUCUCUUAGGUUCAUUUAUGUGGUUGUAGAUUUCACCUUUGUAACUUAUAAUUAACAAUUGCAAUCAAAACAAGGCUGCUUGAAAGUUAAAAAAAUAAUAAAUUCUAAUGUUGAUCUGUUGAUUAGUAAUUUCAUUUUAAAUUUUAGGAUUUUCAUUUAGAUUUUAUUUUUUUAGAACGAAAAUACUAAUGUGACAUUAAACUAUUAAAAAGAGAUAUAAAUGACGGGAUGUCCCUAUACACUCCUUUCCUGGGUUAAAAAGCCAAAAUAAAGUAUUUUAGUCAGUUGACACCAUUUUUUGAUAAAACGGGAUCGACUUGGAUUUUAAAAGCAAAAACAAAAACGGGAGUCGCCACCAAUCCUUUUUUUAAUAAGGUAUGAUCGGGCCACCUCGUAAAAUAGUUGUUUUUAAUAAACGAUUUAGAUUUUAUUAAAACAACGAUUUUGGUUCACGAAAUUCAAAAAAACAAGUUCGGGAGUCGAUUACGCACGAGGAAGGGUUAGCAUCCUCGAUACGCCCAAAAUUGGUACUUAGUCGAUUACUUAAUAUAUUGGUGUCGAAAAUUCAAAAACUUGAAAAGAAUUUAAAAAUACGAUCCCUCUUUAUAAUGUUGAUUAAAAAAUGCUUUAAUUAAAUCAAAAAAUAGAAAAUGCCUCCUUAUCUCGAAGUGACAAGAGGCCACGCCCAGAAAGUUAGGGCCCGACAUCUCAUACUUUGAGAGUAAAUUUGCAUUUCACUUUUUAUUUAAACCUCAUUUAUUUCAAUUUUAAAAGGAUAUUCGGUUACUUAGAAUCAACGAGAAAAAAUCAAAACCCAAUAAGUUAGGACACAAUUUUCUCAAAUUUUCUAAAUGUAGAAUAUUGCCUUUAUUUUGGAAAUUUUAUGUGUUUGAAAUUCAAAAGGAUAUUUUGCUAUCUGGGUUUUACGAGAAAAUCGAGACCCAAUAAGUUCGGAUACAAUUUCCCGAAUUUCCAAAAUGCAAAAUAUUGUCUUAUUUAACAAGAUUCCAUUUCGAAUGAUAGCGGGUAAUCCAUUUGAAGGUAAGUAUUUAUCUUACUUAGAAUAAAAUAAAACAAUCCACAUUGGACUACUAUAUUGGGGUUUAAUUUACAAAAUGAUGACAUGAAAUAACAAUAUAAUAAUAAACAUGGAAUAAUGGUGCAUGGAUAAUUACACAAAUGUAUGGCAAUAAUAUGAAAAUACGAGUAAACUAAUUAUAGUACACACGAUAGCAAAAAUCACACCAUAUUCAUCAUUCAAAUACAAACAUUAAUAAAUAAAGACCCAUUAAUUAGACAAACAAUUAAGAAAUGUAAAAGUAAAGUAAAAUCAAAUAAGAUGUAAAAAAACGAUGUUAAAACGAUAGUGAUGAGUUUAAAAUAAGUAAUGCCAAACAAGAAAUUUAGGGUUAAUAAUAUGUAAGUCAAUCUUUUAAAAAUGUAUAUAAGUAUAAGAUAUGUAAGGUAAGAAAAGAAAAAACAAAUGAAGCAUUUUAAAAAAAUAAGUUGAGUUUAAAAAUCUUUUAAAAAUGUUUAAUAUAAAUAAAACGUAAAAGUGAAAUGAAAUAAAAUUAUUUAAAUGUAAUAAUAUAUAAAAAAAUUUACACAGUUAAAAAGAAAAUAAAAAUGAAAUCAAAACAAACAAAACUAAUAAUAAUAAACAAGAGCAAUUUAAAAGAAAAAUAAAAAUUUAAAGAAAUUAAAGAACUAAGGACGAAACUGGAAAUGGACAAAAAUAUGGGGGUCAAAACUGUAAAUAAAUGAAACAGUUAGCUAGGGGGCUAAAAAAAAGGCGCCGAGGACCCGAUUGGAGCAGGUGCAAAAUUAUAUGGCCGAAAUUAAAUAAAACAAAAGGCUGCAUUGAAUAUGCCGCGGAAUCGGAGGGACCAAAGGCGAAAUUACCCAUUAGGGCAAUAAUGUGCAGAUCUUCCUCCCUUAAACGGCGCAGUUUAGUUUAUGUUAUUUAAACUACAUUUUUUUGAAAUUUCAUUCUUCCUUCUUCAGAGGAGAAAAAAAAUGGGAGGCUCUUUGAAACCCCCCCCAAUGCCUACCGACGGUUGGGUUUCUCACCGCCGUUCACCUGUCCGCCGCACCGCCACUAAAUCCGACGGCCGACGAAGCGCAAUAGCAGGCUUUUAAAGCCCGUUUCCGGUUUAGUCAGAAAGUUAAGUCUUUGAGCCCCGUAAGCAACGAAAUAGAGGCUCUCGACCCUCCCUCUCCGAAUCCAGAUCCGAUGCCGACGAGAGGCCACCGACGGCACAAACCGAUUCAGGUAACCCUCUCUUAUACCUUUUUAUUUAUUAAUAGUUUUCUUUAAAACGAUUUCGAAAGAAAUAAACAAAUAAAUAAACCAGUAAAUAAAUCGACAAAGAAAAAAAAACUAAGGAUAGGAACAACAACCCUUUUUUAUUGAUUUCUGAUUUUUUUUUUGUCUAAAAAGUCCCCGAAGUAGCAUACAAAGAAAUCGGAGUGGCUUUUUAUAGCCGAGAUUACAACUGUUUGCUUCUAUUCUUUUGUUUUUUUGCGAUUCGUUUUCUUCUCUCUGCUGCGUGUUUAUUGCUUUUUGCAGGUGGUGUCAGACGCGUUGGGUGGCGGCUGGUCAGAGGCGUGCAUGCGCGAGGGGAGGCAGACGAAGAGGCCACGCAAAGCAGGCGGCUAGCUAGGGUUUAUUUUGCUGAAAAGUUUUGUUCUUUGUGGGCUAGGGUUGGUUGGGGUAUUGGGCUAAAAAAACUGGGUUUGGGCUGAAAUUUGGGCUGGUUCGUUUGGGUUAAUUGUAAAUGGAUUUUUUUAAUUCUGGAUUUUGGGUUUCUAUUUUGGGCCCGGGUAAAAAUGGGCUCUUACAUAGUCAUUAUAAAAAGAAAAUGAAUUCUUGAACCCUUUUAUGCUCAUGUCACGUCGAGGUACUGCAGAAGAAAAAAUUGUAAAAUCCGAUCCAAUUUAUCGUAAUCGAUUAGUUAACAUGUUGGUUAAUCGUAUUCUAAAACACAGAGAAAAAAAUCAUUAGCUUAUUAAAUUAUCUAUCAAGCCUUGAAAAAGAUUCAACAAAAAAUAGAAACAAAUUCACUAUCUGUUUUAUGUCAAGUAAUACGUGGAGUAACUCCCGUUAUAGCAGUAAAAGCAAGACAUGUAGCUAAAUCGACUCAUCAAGUUCCCAUUGAAAUAGGAUUCACACAAGAAAAAAC